AUCGCAUGGCCCCUAAGCAAGGAUGACAUGCAAAUUCAUGAUGUUUUCCAUAUUUUU
ensembl:snRNA U6 U6 spliceosomal RNA